GAUCUAGUAGCUCAGUUGGUAGAGCACAUCCCUUUUAAGGAUGGGGUCCUGGGUCCGAGCCCCAGCUGGAUCA
rnacentral:tRNA from 1 species